rnacentral:rRNA from 1 species
UACGGGGGGUGCAAGCGUUGUCCGGAAUCACUGGGCGUAAAGGGCGCGUAGGUGGCGUCGUAAGUCUGUGGUGAAAGCCCGGAGCUCAACUCCGGGUCUGCCGCGGAUACUGCGAGGCUUGAGUGCUGUAGAGGGGGGUAGAAUGCCGGGUGUAGCGGUGGAAUGCGUAGAGAUCCGGCAGAAGACCGGUGGCGAAGGCGGCCCCCCUGGGCAGUAACUGACACUGAGGCGCGACAGCGUGGGGAGCAAACAGG